AGUGAACGCUGGCGGCGUGCCUAAUACAUGCAAGUCGAACGGAGUGGCGCACGGGUGAGUAAGGUAUAGCUAAUCUGCCCUACACUAGAGGACAACAGUUGGAAACGGCUGCUAAUACUCUAUAGUGUAGGAUGAGGCUAUGUUGUAUCAGCUAGUUGGUGAGGUAAUGGCUCACCAAGGCUAUGAUGCAUAACUGGUCUGAGAGGUUGAUCAGUCACACUGGAACUUAUGCACGGUCCCGACUCCUACGGGAGGCCGCAGUAGGGAAUAAUGCUCAAUAGGAGAAACCCUGAAUCAGCAGCUCCGCGUGGAGGGUGACAGUUAUCGGAGCAUAAGCACCUUUGGUAAGGGAAGCGGUACCUAACGAGUAAGCACCGGCUAACUCCGUGCCAGCAGCCGCGGUAAUUC
rnacentral:rRNA from 1 species